GCGACUCGUGGCAAACUGGUUCGGCAAACUGAUUCCCUGGAUUGGGAACUUUCUGGCGCUGUGCCCUUUACCCCAGGGAUGGGAAGUUUUCUAUGGCUCCGGAGAACUGUGGUCCUCCCACGUGGCUGGUGCUGACGAGUAAUUACAAGGCUAAUGGCAGUUUACAGCUACUUUGGGGCUUUCUCCAAGAACACAGGCUGGCCUGUUUGGUGGUGUCUCUUGAGUCUCCGGAGAAUUCAGGCUCUUUCAGUUUCAGAGAGCAUCUGAGGCCCGGCAAUGUGUGCAUGUGGCAGAUUGAGAGUCUACGGAAUCCUGAGAAGCCACUGUGUAAAGCUGUGAAGAUAAAGCCUGGGUUGUGAUGGAGACCCCAAGAUGUCUGAGAUGCCAUCAUCAUCGUACAUCUUCCAAGGAGGGCUAAAUACAGAGUGGAACCAGCCCAAGGAUCCACUUUGCAAGCAGCAAAGCUGGAAGGACAGAGUUAGGCCUUGUAGCUGAAGUCCCAAGUACCAGAAAUGGCACUAAAAGAUUUGUUAUUUUCUCUUCUGGAUUUUAGUAAUGCUUUGGUCUGAUCUUUAAUCACCUUUUCUCCCUUUUGGCAUAGGAACGUCUACUCAGUCCCAUUGUAUGCUGGAAGUAUAUAAUCUGUUUUUGUUUUUGUUUUUUUGUGUUGUUCAGUAUAUGUUCAAAGAUUGCCAUGAGUCUCAGAAGAAACUCUGGACUUUUGAGCAGUGUUGGUGUUAUAAAACAGUACGAGAGCUUUGAAUGGUGAACUUAAAUGUGUUUUGCAGCAUGAGCCAUGAACCUAUGGAGCCCAAGGGACAAGUGUUGUGAUGGGAAUAUGAAUGGCAACAUAGUCUCAUGGGUUUGAAUACUUGGUCCUUAGCUAGUGGAGUGUCUAGGAAAGUUAUAGAACCUUCAGGAAAGUUAUGGAGCCUUGCUGGAGAAAAUAAAUCACAAGGGGCAGACCUUAGGGUUUUAUAGGCUGGUUCCACUUGCUGUUCUCUAUCUACUUUUUGAAUGCAGAUGAUCAGCCAUGCUUUCUCUGCCUGUUGUCAUGUCUUCCCUACCACAACGGACUCUAUCCUUCUGGAACUUUAGUUCAAAAUAAACCUUUUC